GACGGAGGGGGCAAGCGUUGUCCGGAAUCACUGGGCGUAAAGCGCGUGUAGGCGGGAAGGCAAGUCUGCUGUGAAAGCGCCUGGCUUAACCGGGCGAGGUCGGCGGAAACUGCUUACCUGGAGGACGGUAGAGGGGGGUGGAAUUCCCGGUGUAGUGGUGAAAUGCGUAGAGAUCGGGAGGAACACCUGUGGCGAAGGCGGCCCCCUGGGCCGGCCCUGACGCUGAGACGCGAAGGCGUGGGGAGCGAACGGG
rnacentral:rRNA from 1 species